CGGACGGGUGAGUAACACGUGAAGAACCUGGCCUUACAGAGGGGGGACAACAGCUGGAAACGGCUGCUAAUACCGCAUAACGCUAGAGUGUGGCAUCACAUUUUAGCCAAAAGAGCAAUCUGCUGUAAGAUGGCUUCGCGUCCGAUUAGACAGUUGGCGGGGUAACGGCCCACCAAAUCUACGAUCGGUAGCCGGACUGAGAGGUUGAACGGCCACACUGGAACUGAGACACGGUCCAGACUCCUACGGGAGGCAGCAGUGGGGGAAUCUUCCGCAAUGGGCGAAAGCCUGACGGAGCAACGCCGCGUGAGUGAUGACGGCCUUCGGGUUGUAAAACUCUGUGAUCCGGGACGAAAAGGCAGAGUGCGAAGAACAAACUGCAUUGACGGUACCGGAAAAGCAAGCCACGGCUAACUACGUG
rnacentral:rRNA from 1 species